AACCCUCAAGUCACCCCACUUUUGCUCAUCAGGACAGUGGCUUCAUCCGGGAGGGAAAUACACAAAAACAAAGCCUACUGAGUCCGUUCAACAGUGGAGGCUCAUCACACGGCAACUAAGAAGACUCUCAUUCAGUAAACAUCUAUUGAUCACCUGCUGUAUGCAAGGGACUCUGAUAGGCAAAGGCAGUGAGGGUGGAGAGUAGAAACCCAAAGAUGUGUUCGAGCCAGUUCCGUGAGACUCUUUGUGGAAAGUACCGUAAAGAAAAUAUUUAUGCAGAAUUGGCAGAUCAAAAUCACCAGAUGUGGUGAAUCAUGGUUUUGCUUGGCAUUCAUUGCCAUGACAUGAAUCAAGCAGAAUUCUUCCGCCAUUUGUAUGGACAUAGCGUGCAUUUCAGCCUCUGAAAAGAGAGAUAACUAUGGCUACUGGUUCUCCAGGAAGUGUAGUUAUCAUCAGUGAAGCCCAUUACUGAGUCAUCAACGGCUAGGAAAAUACUUAUUCCCAAACCACUGGAAGAGGGACCAGGUUGGACCGGGAGCUGGUAAGUGCUUUUCCAGGAAAUCGGGGAAGCAGCAGCAAAAUGGGGGGGGGGGUGUCGAUGGGAAUGGGUAUCAGGCAUCUCUCUCCAGGAACGUGGCCAUAAGACAGGCUAGACAGAGAAGCCUAAAUGUCCUACUUAUUUUCUGGUUUAUCUGCCGUCGUGAUAUUUUAAUCAAAGCUAUGUAUUACCGAUGUAAUAAAUGAAAGAACAAACAACCUUCUCUGGCCAGACAGGUGUCCAACAGCCCUCAGUCUUGAACACUUCGUUACAGGACCUCAGUCUGGCUUGACCCUCCUCCCACGGAGUGUCUCUCUUGAAUUGGCAAUGUCUUCAUUCUUGCCUCCCUGGGUUCGGCACAGGCAUUUCUUAACACCUGGGAAACUGUGCCAGGAGCCUCUGGUGCUUGUGAGGUGUAAGUGCUUCUGUUGUGUCCCCCACAUAACUUGGAUCCUGGUCAGUUACAGAUACAGAAAGUGGAGCUGAGAAGGUGUGUGACUGGCCCACGUCUAGCUAGGAAGGACAACCAGGAUUUAAACUCAGGUAGCUCUAACUAAAGAGCCCAGACCUUUAGCUCCUGUGCUAAUAAUGUCAUUUUCAUUAAUAGUCCUUCUAGAGUUUAGUUGAUUUGCAUGCCCAGUGUCUCUUCUUCCCUGAAUUCCUACUCCACACAGUCACAAAAGAGACCCAUCAAUUAUGUUACUCGUCCAAUCAAAAAAAAGGAAAACAGGCUCCCCAUUGCCUGUCUGCAGGAUAAAGUCCCAAGUGUCCAUGGCAUACAUUUAGGAAAGGAGCUACAGAAAGGGACAUGUCGUACAGGGAGGAAUUACCCUCUUCACUGCCCAACUUCUUCGCCCAUUCCAUUAGAGUCAUCAGAUAUUGCCGAUGAAGCGCAUUCCUGACACCGUAUUAUUCCCCUACAUGAAUAAGGCAGAAAUUCUUUCACGCGUGGCUGCGCUGGAGAUGAGC